GCCUAGGUGGCGGAACUGGUAUACGCGUAAGAUUGAGGUUCUUAUGCCGCAAGGCUUGGGAGUUCAAAUCUCCCCCUAGGCA
rnacentral:tRNA from 1 species